rnacentral:lncRNA from 1 species
AAAGCAUAAACAAAUCUAAGAUGCAUUACCCCCCACAAGGCCUGGAGGGAGUGAGAAACGCAGAAGGUAGCUUCAUACUUGGAAUUUCCCCGCCCCCGGGCCUGGGCCGGAACCUCUCCUGCCGGGUGGAGGCCAUCCGGCCACCCGCCCCUCUCCAAUCCCGCACCCAGAAUCAAGGCCCCGGUACUGGGUGUGAGCACGACUCACACAGCGUCACGCAUCCUGUCACCAGACCUCAGUGCCAUCUGCUUGGCCUGGGCCAGGGUGAGCGGCGAUCCCAUCGUGAAGACGCGUCUCAUUAAGAGGACCGGAAGAUAGAGUCCCCAAGCCGCCUGGUGGGACCCGCGCUGCUGCCUGGGCAAGCAUCCCCUCCCCUCCCCCGUUCAUUAAUGAUCAUGGGAGGUUUUAUUCCCCCCAACAAAAGUGUUAAUUAGACAUCGUUCAGAACAGGGAUAUUACACAGAUGAAUUAAACCCAGACCAAUCAACAA